rnacentral:misc_RNA from 1 species
UGAAUUGAAAGUCUAAGAAGCCAUAGUAGAAGUUACAAAUAAGACUUGUCCCCAGGGAUUAAACAAAGCUAGAAGAGUCUUCUAGGGCGUUGGAGGCUAGAGAAUGGGCUGCCUUAUUAGAACAUCUUCUAACAAAGUAGUACUGAACAUGGUUGAAGCUGGAGGACGAGAUAAGAAAUAUCAUUUACGAUUGAUUGAAUUUCUAGAGGUGCUGGAUUCCCUUGAAGAGCCGUAACGAGCGUUUGAGAGUCUCCCUCCACGAUAAUAUUUGACAGACCUUUGGAUUUUGCAAUUAGGCAGGCCUUUAGAAAAGCUAAAGCUUCAAGAGUAAGCGGUUCUCAAAUGACAGGGAACUUUCUGCAAGACCAGGAUGUCGUUCCAAGUGGUCCCUAGCUAGAGCUGCCACAGCUCCUGAACCUUGGGAGGCAUUAGUUGCGGCGUCGAAAUUUAGAUUGACCAGACCAAUAACGGGGGCUGACCAAGGAGCCUCUAGGUGGUUAACACUCAAGGAGUUGGUAGCAGGAGGGAUGACUGCAGAGAAUUCCUCAAGGUGCGCUAAGCCAAACCAAUAAUCUCUCGAGUAGGGCGGACUUGAGGAGGAGGGAUGACUGCAGAGAAUCAUGCGUUGAUAGUGUAGAUAAAGGUUUUUCUAGAAUGUCCAAUUCGUCUGCUGCAUCGCAGACAUGGAUGCCGUAUGUAUGAAAAAUUAAUAGCUUGAGUACACAACUUGAG